rnacentral:rRNA from 1 species
CAGCCGCCGCGGGAAUACGUAGGUGGCAAGCGUUGUCCGGAAUUAUUGGGCGUAAAGGGCUCGCAGGCGGUUUCUUAAGUCUGAUGUGAAAGCCCCCGGCUCAACCGGGGAGGGUCAUUGGAAACUGGGAAACUUGAGUGCAGGAGAGGAGAGUGGAAUUCCACGUGUAGCGGUGAAAUGCGUAGAGAUGUGGAGGAACACCAGUGGCGAAGGCGACUCUCUGGUCUGUAACUGACGCUGAGGAGCGAAAGCGUGGGGAGCGAACAGGAUUAGAUACCCCCGUAGUCCCUGUCUCUUAUAC